rnacentral:lncRNA from 1 species
UGGAAAGAGAAUUGAAGGGGGGGUUAUUGCUCGGGAUAAACCGGGAGAGCAAACAAACAGAUCGAUAUUUCAUUAGGUAUCACCAUUUCAGAUGUGGCAUCAUUCUCCAACCCACAUUCUCGCCAAUUUGAGAGGAGGAAGACAGGUCCCACUGGGCACACGUCAUUUCACC